GGAGGAAAAGAAACUAACAAGGAUUCCCCUAGUAACGGCGAGUGAACCGGGAAGAGCUCAAAUUUGAAAUCUGGCGUCCUCAGGGCGUCCGAGUUGUAAUCUAUAGAGGCGUUUUCCGUGCCGGACCGUGUCCAAGUUCCUUGGAACAGGAUAUCAAAGAGGGUGACAAUCCCGUACUUGACACGACGACCGGUGCUCUGUGAUACGUCUUCUACGAGUCGAGUUGUUUGGGAAUGCAGCUCAAAAUGGGUGGUGAGUUCCAUCUAAAGCUAAAUAUUGGCGAGAGACCGAUAGCGAACAAGUACCGUGAGGGAAAGAUGAAAAGCACUUUGGAAAGAGAGUUAAACAGUACGUGAAAUUGUUGAAAGGGAAACGAUUGAAGUCAGUCGUGACCGAGAGGCUCAGCCGGUUCUGCCGGUGUAUUCCCCUCGGUCGGGUCAACAUCAGUUUUGUCCGGUGGAUAAGGGCGGUAGGAAGGUGGCACCCUCGGGUGUGUUAUAGCCUGCCGUCGCAUACAUCGGGUGAGACUGAGGAACGCAGCUCGCCUUUAUGGCCGGGGUUCGCCCACGUCCGAGCUUAGGAUGUUGACAUAAUGGCUUUAAACGACCCGUCUU
rnacentral:rRNA from 1 species